rnacentral:lncRNA from 1 species
GUCAAUAGAAUAGGAGAAAAUAACAAGUAACGGGCCUCUCAUUGGGUCAAACCAAAAUGUUAAAACAGAUAUGCACUCUGUUAUGCUUCUUUUAUUCAGUCGGUUUCAUCAUAAGGGACAAAAGCAAGAUACUGGAAGCUUUUCUCCACAUAUAAGACAAUAAAACCUCUUGGGCAGUGACUCAGCCAUACAUUAUUGAUUCAUCGUCUUCAGAAUCUACCAGACGAACUAACAUGCUCUUGCCCUGCAAGGUGGAAGGCGGGGAGGACGGAACGUAAUGUCGGGUGCAUACAUUAUUGCCUUCUCUUCCGUAACGUGGACAUGUUCCUGAACUCCAAGACCUAGAGAAAAGUAACAAGUUUAUGUAAACACAGCAAGUUGCAGCCAGAAUGAACGAGGAGAGGAGGAGCCAUACCGUUUGAAGGCAGUUCGUCCUUGUUAGUAGCAACCAGCGAAGAGUAUGUAGCCACCACUGGUUCUCUGGGUGGCACUUGCCGCGAUGCCCAUACAAGCGGGCUACUCGCAAUCAGAAGGAUGCUGAGGACAAUGAACGCUUUCGCAACCAUUUUGCUGUACGUUAUUUGCUUGGACAAAGGUCUACUUAUAAUGGAGGGGCAAUGCUUUCU